AAAGAACCCUGCUAAAUGCAACAGAAUAGCUGAGACCUCUGGGCCCUGGUCAACCAUCAUCAGAGAAGCUUGCUCCUGCAACAAAUGGAAACGAAUGCAGAGACCCGCAGCCCUAUACUAAGCAGUGACUGAGAGAACUUGGAAUAUUCAACCCUAAACAAAUCACUCCCCUCACCUUCAGGGAUUCCUGGAGAAGAAGAGACAGGACAAAUUAGCAAUGACAGAGAUUGGUGACAAACAAUGCUCUUCAUCCUUACUCACCGGUUUAUGACAGGGCUGAAUGUGAGCUCCUGGGUCUAAAAGGUUUCAGCUUCUACUCUCUCAAGCUUCUUAAACUCCAAUUCUACAAAUGAGAAAUGGAUGACAAUCUGACAAGGAUGUGCCUGUCUCUUUAAAAUGUGUCCUUUCUAUCAGGGUCUUAGUGUAGGACCACAAUUACACAUGAGUAAAAAACCAUCCUACCUCAGAAAUAGUUACAUACCCUGGGCCUUUUCCACUCACCCCUUGUUGACAGAAACUGAAACAACCACCCACUCUGUUUAAUAAA